UACGUAGGGGGCAAGCGUUGGUCCGGAUUUAUUGGGCGUUAAAGAGCGUGUAGGCGGCCUUACAGGUCAGCUGUGAAAACUCGAGGCUCAACCUCGAGACGUCGGUUGAAACCGUAUGGCUAGAGUCCGGAAGAGGAGAGUGGAAUUCCCGGUGUAGCGGUGAAAUGCGCAGAUAUCGGGAGGAACACCGGUGGCGAAGGCGGUUCUCUGGGCCUUACCUGGACGCUGAGGAGCGAAAAGCGUGGGGGAGCGAAACAGG
rnacentral:rRNA from 1 species